rnacentral:rRNA from 1 species
GUGCCCAACACAUGCAAGUCGAACGCGAAUAUCCCGCAAGGGAUUAGUAGAGUGGCAAACGGGUGAGUAACACGUGGGUGACCUGCCUUCGAGUGGGGGAUAACGUCCCGAAAGGGACGCUAAUACCGCAUGACAUCCUGCCUUUGAACAGGUGGAGAUCAAAGCUGGGGAUCGCAAGACCUAGCGCUUGAAGAGGGGCCCGCGUCCGAUUAGCUAGUUGGUGAGGUAACGGCUCACCAAGGCGACGAUCGGUAGCCGGCCUGAGAGGGCGGACGGCCACACUGGGACUGAGACUCGGCCCAG